AGAGUUUGAUCCUGGCUCAGGACGAACGCUGGCGGCGCGCUUAACACAUGCAAGUCGAGCGGAGUUGAUUUUUAACACCCGAGCUCAUGAAGGGACUUUGUGAAGUUGGGGGUUGAAGAUCAACUUAGUGGCGGACGGGUGAGUAACACGUGAGCAACCUGCCUUUCAGAGGGGGAUAACGAUUGGAAACGAUCGCUAAUACCGCAUGAUGUAUGACUGUCGCAUGGCAGACAUACCAAAGAUUUUAUCGCUGAGAGAUGGGCUCGCGGCCGAUUAGGCAGUUGGUGAGGUAACGGCUCACCAAACCUACGAUCGGUAGCCGGACUGAGAGGUUGAACGGCCACAUUGGGACUGAGACACGGCCCAGACUCCUACGGGAGGCAGCAGUGGGGAAUAUUGGGCAAUGGGCGCAAGCCUGACCCAGCGACGCCGCGUGAGGGAAGAAGGUUUUCGGAUUGUAAACCUCUGUCUUCAGGGACGAUAAUGACGGUACCUGAGGAGGAAGCCACGGCUAACUACGUGCCAGCAGCCGCGGU
rnacentral:rRNA from 1 species